rnacentral:rRNA from 1 species
UACGUAGGCAGCAAGCGUUGUUCGGAGUUACUGGGCGUAAAGGGUGCGUAGGUGGCUCUAUAAGUAUGGUGUGAAAUCUCCCGGCUUAACUGGGAGGGUGCGCCGUAGACUGUGGGGCUAGAGUGUGGGAGAGGAAAGUGGAAUUCCUGGUGUAGCGGUGAAAUGCGUAGAUAUCAGGAGGAACACCGGUGGUGUAAACGGCUUUCUGGACCAUAACUGACACUGAGGCACGAAAGCGUUGGGUAGCAAACCAGG